AUAAAAAUAUAACCACAUACAAUUCAGACAUCGAUAUGUUAGAAGCUCCCAAAAUGAAAAGUAGUACCUUCGUGUUCAUCAUUGGCUUCUUUACUUAAAUUGAUCAUAUUUUGCAUCUUCUAAUGAUUAUACAAAACUAAAAAUGAUCAAAAUUCCAAACUACAGCUCAUAUUCUCAAGCACCCAAACCUAGGAUUCAUCAAGCAAGAUAUGUUUUCACCUAAGACAUUCUAAAUCUCGUGAAUAUCGUAAAAACCAGCUCAUUGAAGACUUCUUCUACUAAAUUUUCUAGAUCUAGUGAGAAACAAGCUAGAAUCUGACACUUUAGAACAUGCAUCAUCUAUCAUCUGUCAAGGUUUCUAUGAAAGAUUUAUCAUGGACUUCUCCAAAAUUUCCAAAUCCUUGUGUAAGUUGUUGGAGAAAGGGGUG